CACUAGACUUGGAUGCAGGGAGAAUAGUUUUCCUCUCUUUAUAAGAAAGUAUAGAGGAGACACAAAUAUACACAGAUACAUAGAACAGACUCAUCAAAUUUGCAAUAAAGCAGAUUUCACACUAUUGAAGCAAUUGAAAUGCACUUACUGAAGCACUGAGUUACAGCAGUGCAAUUCACAGAAAUUAACUGCAUCUCAGAGAGGAGUCCCAUCACUACCAGAGAAAAUGCAUUCUGUCUUUACAGUGAUGUAGUCAGCUGCUCUGAAUGCCUACCAACUUCCCUGCAAAAGUCAUCUUUGACAUUGACCCAGUGAAAGCAAGAUGAAAAAACCGAGACCUAAAACAUGAUGGCUGAAUGACAGACACCUGUUCCUCACAGGCAUCCCACUCUAAUGUGCCAGAUUUGGUUCAGGACAAAUCUUCAUGGAAGCACAUAACACGAUGGCCCAUGGAGAUGAGGCAGUUCAUGUGUCUGUGUAGCAUCUAACAACACUGGUGACCCCAACUGCUGAUCUGGUGAGUAAGCAAAACUGCCGUAGUAAGAAUCGCUAUCUAACAUGGCAGUAAACCUCGAGCUAGGAAACCCCCUUAUUCCCUCCCUUAUGAUCCCCACGGAGUUUGAUAACUCUUGGACCCGCUGGAUUGCCAGUAAGGGGGGUCCAUAUGAAUUUAAAAAAGAGAGUGGGGAAACAUGGACUGGCUUAUGUAGAGCGAUGGUAGAAACCAAGGCUCUGAGAAACAGUAAUAAGAGUAAAAAAAGCAAGAAUUUUGCAACUCAUGUCUCUGGCAGUGAGAUGGCUCAGACAGCAUGCUGGAAUGCUGGCCAAACAAGUAACAGAAAAAACAAGAGAAGUAGAAGAGGUAACCCGGGCAGUCGAGCACUGGAAAGCCCAAGCUCUGUUAGCAGGGCAACAGGCGGUCCAAACUCAUGAUAUGCUCGAGCAAGUGAAGCAGGAAAAUAAAAAAUUGAAAACAGCUGUAGAAAACCUGCAGAAGCAAAAAGCACCGUCCCCUGGGGUUCAGUGUUCUUCAAGUGCUUUUACGGUGCCUGAGGAAUGGGGACAGAAAUGGAAACAGGUGGUCCUAGUAAAAUUAAAAGAUGAAACGGGGUCCACUGCAUUGCAACCACCACCUUAUGAUAAAUGCCAGGUUCCAGUUAAACUGAGACCUAGACUGGUGCCUGUCAGAACGGGACAAGUAAGUGCACAGAAAGAAAGAGUAGCACAUAAUACUUUCAAAGAAUUGGUAAAUCAGAUGAAGGAAAAUAUAGAACAGUUCACAGAGCACAUUAGGAGACAGGAGCUGCGACUUGAUUGCAGGGGAGUGAAUAAAAAAGCAUUUCAAAGUAAAAAACCAAAAUUAAGUGGGUUAACACCUAGAAUUGAUGCAUUAACAUAUGGAGUUGCCCAAAACCAGUUCACUGCAGCAAAAAAAAAAGGGCACUCCCGCCAUCCAUCUGGCAUGCACACAAAAGCAACAGACAUUGGAGGAACAAAUUCAGGUUUUACAAGAGCAGGUAACUACCCCCAUUCUCCACUCAAAGCCAGGAUAAAAAACAGGGGCGCGGUUCUUAACUGUGCAGGUUCCCAACUGCUUUGACCCACGGAACCACACUCCGUGCUCAUAUCUGAAAAUAGAACCUUCUUUCUCAAAUAUUUUUACAUACCGGUUAAGUUUUGUCCUUUAUAUGCUUUCUUAGUUUGCUAAAUUUGCUGCUGCUGCCUGUACCUUCAAAUAUCUUGAUAGAGUUAAUCUCUCUUGGCUCAGGUCUCGCUACCUUCCUAGGUUGCUGUUCACCCCCUCCUUUC